rnacentral:misc_RNA from 1 species
UCCGAGUUGUCCCCGGCAGUCCCCUUAAAGUCCCCGGCAUUACCCGCUGGCAACUAAGGGCAGGGGUUGCGCUCGUUGCGGCACUUAAGCCAACACCUCACGGCACGAGCUGACGACAGCCAUGCAGCAUCUGUGUGGCACCCUCGAAGGUCACACGUUUCCGUGCGCUUGCAGCCACAUGUCAAGUCCAGGUAAGGUUCUUCGCGUUGCAUCGAAUUAAUCCACAUAAUCCACCGCUUGUGCGGGUCCCCGUCAAUUCCUUUGAGUUUUAACCUUGCGGCCGUACUCCCCAGGCGGUCAACUUCACGCGUUAGCUUCGUUACCAAGGGAUUGCUUCCCCGACAACCAGUUGACAUAGUUUAGGGCAUGGACUAC